CACGUAGGGGGCGAGCGUUGUCCGGAUUUAUUGGGCGUAAAGAGCUCGUAGGCGGUUCAGUAAGUCGGGUGUGAAACCCCCGGGCUCAACCCGGGGACGCCACCCGAUACUGCUGUGACUGGAGUCCGGUAGGGGAGCGUGGAAUUCCUGGUGUAGCGGUGAAAUGCGCAGAUAUCAGGAGGAACACCAGCGGCGAAGGCGGCGCUCUGGACCGGUACUGACGCUGAGGAGCGAAAGCGUGGGGAGCGAACAGG
rnacentral:rRNA from 1 species